CCUGGCCCUGGUCCUGACUGACACCAGUCCCAAUGGGAACUCAGUGAUUCCUCGGAUCUGGUCCCCCUCCUCAUACCCAGUCACAUGAGGCCAUCUGUCUGGCACCCAGUGUUCUCUGGAAAAGAACAAAAAGUUUCUCUGGAGUAGGACAGAGGUGAGCUGGCUGAUUUCAGGGAAACUUGGAAAGACAAAAGAAGUAAUGCAAAGUGAAAUGUGUCUGUCUUAUAUGCCUAAUUGGAUUAUCGAAUCAGAGGAUCUGCAAACCUUAAGUCAUAGAAUGUUCAGAUCGGAGAAGCAGAGAUUCUCAGAGGGAAAAUAUCUCAGAAUCCCAACCUAGAAAGACAUCUCUGAGGUCAUCUAGGCCCUGCCUAAUGGGAUGGCCAGAAAUCUGUGGUGCCUGGGAGCUCAUCACGCAAGGCCACGUGUGACAACUGACGGUUAGGAGGUUGUUCCUUAUAUUGACCUCAGGUUGGCCUCCCUGUAAAGUCCCUAACUUUCCAUAGUCCUUCUUUCUAAAGUGACCCUAAAACGUAGACUCUAAGCGAUCACCCUGGUGCAGAUAGCAAUAAUAGGGAAAUGGGUCUUGAUCAAUGACACAUGCAAAACCCAGUGCAAUUGCGUGUCAGUUACAGGGGGGAGGGGGGAGGGGAGGGAAGGAACAUGAAUCAUGGAACCAUGGAAAAAUGUCCUAAAUUAAUUAAAUAAACAAAAUGUUUCGAACAAACAAAAAAAAUCAAGUCACCCUAAACUAAUUUUACUCCUUCUUUCUCAUGACAAGCCUUUAGAGGCUUGAAGACAUUGUCUAGAAGCUGUCCCAUACUCCCCAAGUCUCCAAGCUCUAUAUCCCCGUUUCCAUGAGCUGGGGAUGACAUACUAAAGCAGCCUAUUACAGUGGGAGGAGCACUGAUCUUACAGGCAAGGGACCUCAUUUCAA